rnacentral:rRNA from 1 species
GGUGGUUUGUCGCGUUGUUCGUGAAAUCUCACGGCUUAACUGUGAGCGUGCGGGCGAUACGGGCAGACUUGAGUACUGCAGGGGAGACUGGAAUUCCUGGUGUAGCGGUGGAAUGCGCAGAUAUCAGGAGGAACACCGGUGGCGAAGGCGGGUCUCUGGGCAGUAACUGACGCUGAGGAGCGAAAGCGUGGGGAGCGAACAGGAUUAGAUACCCUGGUAGUCCACGCCGUAAACGGUGGGUACUAGGUGUGGGUUUCCUUCCUUGGGAUCCGUGCCGUAGCUAACGCAUUAAGUACCCCGCCUGGGGAGUACGGCCGCAAGGCUAAAACUCAAAGAAAUUGACGGGGGCCCGCACAAGCGGCGGAGCAUGUGGAUUAAUUCGAUGCAACGCGAAGAACCUUACCUGGGUUUGACAUGCACAGGACGCCGGCAGAGAUGUCGGUUCCCUUGUGGCCUGUGUGCAGGUGGUGCAUGGCUGUCGUCAGCUCGUGUCGUGAGAUGUUGGGUUAAGUCCCGCAACGAGCGCAACCCUUGUCUCAUGUUGCCAGCGGGUAAUGCCGGGGACUCGUGAGAGACUGCCGGGGUCAACUCGGAGGAAGGUGGGGAUGACGUCAAGUCAUCAUGCCCCUUAUGUCCAGGGCUUCACACAUGCUACAAUGGCCGGUACAAAGGGCUGCGAUGCCGCGAGGUUAAGCGAAUCCUUUUAAAGCCGGUCUCAGUUCGGAUCGGGGUCUGCAACUCGACCCCGUGAAGUCGGAGUCGCUA